AUGCGCUGUCAUUUUUUUCCAGAUGGCCUUCUUCAGUGCCCAGAGAGAGCUGGCUGGUCCUCCUUUGUACCCACCUCUGUUGUAUGCCUGAUGAAGAGGCAUUCACUUGAUUUGUUACAGGCCUGUUUCCUUCACAGAAUCACAAGAACAUACUGCCAAAACCCUUCGUCUGGUGUGGAAAGCAUGAAGGACACUGCCCUCAGCCCAAGGCCUCUGCUUAAAAAGUUUGAAAGCAUUGUCUGCCUGCCUCCAUCUCCUGAGUCCUGUCCCGUGGACCAGAAAAAGGUGAUGCUCACACCCUUAUGCCAUCUCGUGCUGUCUUUGUUCCAUCAGCAACUGCGUGUGGCUGUCUGUGGUCAACGUUUAUUGCUUUCUGAACUUUCCUGGAGGAUCAUCUGCCAUACUCCAGCAGAAGGGUGGAUUUGAAAAAAUAACAUGAGAUCAACACUGUGCCCCUUACCUUGAGUCAAGGCUGGAUAGUAAGUCGAAAGAUGACUCGAAAGGACCGUGCUUCUCCUGCUAUGACUUCUUUUCUGAGAUCAAGCAUCCCUGAAAAACCUGGCUUGAAAUUAUUCUGAGGUGCUGGACGCCACAACCUUCAUAGCAAAUGUGGAUGAAUUGCAUAGCUGAAGCCUACUGAUUAUACAAAAAUAAAUGGUUGUUAUCUCAGUUGAUCCAGAGAAGACAACCUACCGACAGGUCUCAGAUGGUAAUGGCUAUGCCUGCUUGGCCAGUCUCUGCUACUUUGUCUCUUUCUCAUCAGUAACUCUGAAGCCACUUGUGAGGUUCUCCUACUAUGCACUGUGAUUUGAGCAGAGGGGUGAGUGUAUUAGUUCAUAUUCAUGCUGCUGAUAAAGAUAUAUCUGAGACUGGGAAGAAAAAGAGGCUU
rnacentral:lncRNA from 1 species